ACCUGUGAGCGGCCCGCGCAAAGACUUGACGACUCUGAAUAAUUUCGAGCUGAUCGCAUGGUCUUGGUGCCAGCGACGUAUCUUUCAAAUGUCUGCCUUAUCAACUGUCGACGGUAGGUUCGAUGCCUACCGUGGUGGUAACGGGUAACGGGGAAUCAGGGUUCGAUUCCGGAGAGGGAGCCUGAGAAACGGCUACCACAUCCAAGGAAGGCAGCAGGCGCGCAAAUUACCCACUCCCAGCUCGGGGAGGUAGUGACGAAAAAUAACGAUGCGGGACUCUUAUGAGGCCCCGUAAUCGGAAUGAGUACACUUUAAAACCUUGGUCACACGAGGAUCAAUUGGAGGGCAAGUCUGGUGCCAGCAGCCGCGGUAAUUCCAGCUCCAAUAGCGUAUAUUAAAGUUGUUGCGGUUAAAAAGCUCGUAGUCGGAUCUGUGUCCUCGCGGCGUCGGACCACCAAGUACCGUGACGGGCUCCCCGGCUCUGUCUGGGUGUGCCAUGGGCGGUCAGGUGAUAGUUUCCGGCGUGUCAGCGGGACGUCCUGCCGGUAGGCGGACACGUUCCCAUCGCGUUGGUCCUGUGCUCGGUCUUCGGCCUUCGCGGCCGUCGUCAUCGGACACUCGAACUAACCAGUGGGAGGCGGCCGCCUUUUAAAUUCUGUUCGUGCGGGACGCGCUGCCCAGUUGUAGUUGCGUUUGGUACGGGCGGGCCGGCACGUUUACUUUGAACAAAUUAGAGUGCUCAAAGCAGGCUCGAACGUGGCGGGGUGCGCUUAAGUGUGUGCCUCGUCGUACAGCCCUGAAUAUGGUCGCAUGGAAUAAUGGAACAAGACCUCGGUCCCGCCUCUACGCUGCCUCGCAGCGCGUGAAUGGUGCCUUCGGGCCGUUCCGUGCGCGGGUUGCCGGUCGGGUCCCCGCAUUCGCGUCCGCGUCGCCCGCUUCCAGCCUUUGGGCCGUAAGUCGGUCACCGUGCGCGGGUUACGCAAUGUCGUGGUACACCUCGAUCGUUGGCCGGUUUCCGGGACCAGAGGUAAUGAUCAACAGAGACAGGCGUGGGCAUUCGUACCGCGACGUUAGAGGUGAAAUUCUUGGAUCGUCGCGAGACGAACCGAAGCGAAAGCAUUUGCCAAGUAUGUUCUCGUCUGAUCAAGAACGAAAGUUAGAGGUUCGAAGGCGAUCAGAUACCGCCCUAGUUCUAACCGUAAACGAUGCCAGCUAGCGAUCCGCCGGUGUCUUUCCGAUGACCCGGCGGGCAGCUUCCGGGAAACCGAAGCUUUUCGGUUCCGGGGGAAGUAUGGUUGCAAAGCUGAAACUUAAAGGAAUUGACGGAAGGGCACCACCAGGAGUGGAGCCUGCGGCUUAAUUUGACUCAACACGGGAAACCUCACCAGGCCCGGACACCGGAAAGAUUGACAGAUUGAGAGCUCUUUCUUGAUUCGGUGGGUGGUGGUGCAUGGCCGUUCUUAGUUGGUGGAGCGAUCUGUCUGGUUAAUUCCGAUAACGAACGAGACUCUGUCCUGCUAACUAGGCGGGUUCCUCGCCGCCCGAGGGUCACGUGUAUGGUGCCGGCCGCGGAGAUGCAAAAUGCCCUUUGCGGUCGGUGGUUGUGCAUGCCUCGGUCCACGGCGAACCGGGUAUCCCCGAACGUGGUCGACCGCCGUUUCUGGGGCGAUGUGGUGUUCGUGGAUGUUGCUCGUACGGGUGCUGGUUUGUCGGUGCGGGUAAAACUGUGUCGGCAGGUUGGUACGCGUGAGGGUGGCGAAACGGAUGCGCUCGUCCCGCCGGUGGUUCACAGCCGCUAAUAGGGCUACCGCCGGCUGAUAAAGCUUAAACUCUUCUUAGAGGGACAGGCGGCGUACAAAGCCAGCCGCACGAGACUGAGCGAUAACAGGUCUGUGAUGCCCUUAGAUGUUCUGGGCCGCACGCGCGCUACACUGAAGGAAUCAGCGUGUAAUUCUAACCUGGGCCGAGAGGCUUCUCCGGGCAACCCGCUGAACCUCCUUCGUGCUAGGGAUCGGGGCUUGCAAUUGUUCCCCGUGAACGAGGAAUUCCCAGUAAGCGCGAGUCAUCAGCUCGCGUUGAUUACGUCCCUGCCCUUUGUACACACCGCCCGUCGCUACUACCGAUUGAACGACCGCAGUGAGGUCUUCGGACCGAGGUGCGGCGGCACUUGUGCCGAUUUUGCACCGCCGGGAAGAUGACCGAACUCGGCCGUUUAGAGGAAGUAAAAGUCGUAACAAGGUUUCCGUAGGUGAACCUGCGGAAG
rnacentral:rRNA from 1 species